GAUGAACGCUGGCGGCGUGCCUAAUACAUGCAAGUCGAGCGAACAGAUGAGGAGCUUGCUCCUCUGACGUUAGCGGCGGACGGGUGAGUAACACGUGGAUAACCUACCUAUAAGACUGGGAUAACUUCGGGAAACCGGAGCUAAUACCGGAUAAUAUAUUGAACCGCAUGGUUCAAUAGUGAGAGACGGUUUUGCUGUCACUUAUAGAUGGAUCCGCGCCGCAUUAGCUAGUUGGUAAGGUAACGGCUUACCAAGGCAACGAUGCGUAGCCGACCUGAGAGGGUGAUCGGCCACACUGGAACUGAGACACGGUCCGGACUCCUACGGGAGGCAGCAGUAGGGAAUCUUCCGCAAUGGGCGAAAGCCUGACGGAGCAACGCCGCGUGAGUGAUGAAGGUCUUCGGAUCGUAAAACUCUGUUAUUAGGGAAGAACAAAUGUGUAAGUAACUAUGCACGUCUUGACGGUACCUAAUCAGAAAGCCACGGCUAACUACGUG
rnacentral:rRNA from 1 species